UUCACUGUGUGUGUAGUUCCUCUUUACCUUACGACUGAAUAUGGCUGCCUCUGGGUAACAGCUUUGUCAGUAGUCAGUAAUUAUGUAGUCAGUGUUAUGACUACUGAAAGAUGAUCUACCAGUGACAGUAAAAAAUUCUAUUUUAAAGAUUCUAUGAAGAUUUGACUGUUGACAACAAUACUUAUGCAUGCAAUAAACAGGUUAAAUAUUAUUAUUUCGGCAGAGGGGUCUGUCACCUGGCCUUACUCUGAUGUAUUUUGAAGUGUAUUUUGAUGUUCUGAUGUAUUUUGAAGUUAUAACAAUGACAAACUAGGGCAGUCAGCAGAUUGGUUGACUGUGUUGCCAUACCGCAAUAAUAUAAAAAUUAUGCAUUUGAUAUUAGAAAUAUCUUCUUAAAUCUUAAGUUGUUCGAGGUCUCAGGAAAUAUCUUUUUUUUUUUUUUUUCUGAUUGCAGGGUGGAACAAUAGUUGCUUUUUUGCUUUAGAGAUACUUCAGUUAAAUGAUGGCCACACACUAACUUGAGCCCUUGUUACACCAAGUACUCAUUCAGUGUGUGUUUCCCAAUACUGACGUGUGGGGCGCUCCUAACAGUCAAGUUGUUUAUACAAGACGUGGGCCGGGAGAUGCGGGUCAUGCAGUGCGUCACAUAAAUUUACGGUUGAAGCCACACACAAUGGACAGAGCUGAAAUACCUGAACACUUCCAAACCAGUACUGUUUCCAUAAAAUCUUUGAGAAACAAGAUGUGAAAGUCAGAGGAGAUUAUUUAAAUUGUCUUCCGGGAGUCGACUUAUAAGUUUUGAUGCAUCAACCAGCAGAAUCUGGUCAGUACGAAAUCCUUGUCAGACUUAAUGAGUCCAUGCAGUUCCAGUGUAUCACUUGACAAUUAUAUUAACUCUUUUGUCCUGAGCAAUCUACGUUUCAUCCAUAUGUCUCACCCAGAGCUCUUGCUGGGCUAUCUACAUGACUGUGGGAGAAUUUUACUCUGAUGCCUGACCAGUUUUUGAUGCAGGCUGAGAGCUUGGUGUAAAAGGGGUUUCACUGCAGUGGGUUUGAAAUUACCAAGAAGAGUAAUGGUGCUGGAAUUCAGCUUGUAAUCUAACAGAUGUAGUGUUAAUUUAGUCUUAAAACACCAUGGCAUGACACCCGUACCGUCCCAAAAGAAAUUUCUGAAAAAAAAAUUGUCCUGGACCACAUCACAAUCCCAAGCCAGAAGGUGUGGCUGUGCUUUUCAGUUUCCAUGUGAUAAAUAUUCAAGAAGAGGAUCAGCCAAGUGGCUUUUACACUGACAUCCGCUAAAAGUAGUGGUGGAGAGAUAUGAAGUAGUGCAGAGAUGGUGAAAGUUGUACCCAGCAAAUCUGUUGUCAACAGAGCGCAAGGAUGAGCAAACUUUAUUUAACCCCAAAUUAGGUCAAGGAUUGUAUUUCUAGUUUUAAAGGCACAAGUUUAGGCAAAUAUGGACACAGGUUACUCAUUAGAAAGACCACAUUGGUUCUCAUUGGCACGUUCAUAUUACUCAGACUUCACUUAAAAUGUUGUGGCUGUUUUCAUAUUUCGCUAAAAAACAAUUAAAAGCAAAUGCACCCUGUUAAUUAUCUUAUGUUAUAUGAAAUACAUUUUGUCAUAAAUAAACAUUAUCCAAGUAA